GGGGCGAGGGGGCAGGGCCGCGGCCGGGCGCGCGCGCUCGCGUUCGUGCUCGUGCCCGCGGGGCGAUCUCGCGGGAGCGACGCCAGGAUAGAGGUUCGCUGAGCCGCCAUUCUAACGCAGGCGCGGUGGCCAAGUGGUAAGGCGUCGGUCUCGUAAACCGAAGAUCACGGGUUCGAACCCCGUCCGUGCCUGGCGUCGCUGGUCCCCUGCCAGGGGGCGACUUUUUAGGGGUGGGACCACUUUUCUGGAGUGGUCCUCAGUAGUCUACGCUGUCGGCAUUCCGCAUUUAGAUCCUCGCCCCUGGGUGGCGACCGGGCCAACUGUUUUCACGCGGUUUGGGAUCAAGCUCUCCUGCCGCCCUCGCAGAAGGUCAAGUCUGGGUGGUCCGACCGCGCAUUCCGCUCCCUGCGGGCACGCAGCGCCCCCUGCCGUCCCCGGGCCCCUCGUCCCCCGGGGAAGGUGGAGGACUCGGGCUGCGCCGGGGUCGCAAACUCCAGGGCCCCAGGGGUCACCCCGAAACCGUGCCGCCCGCCAAGGUCCCCCCGCCCUCCGGGCAAGAAACCCACAGCCGAUGGCGCUUGGCUCGAGGGCCACGAAGCAUUUUUGCGAACAUCGCAGUCCAAUUUUAUCCUCUAAUGAGAACUGCCGUCGCCUGACACCGAGUCCACACCCAGAGUCAGCUGGUGUCUGGCUCGCUAUUUUUAAAAGGAAAUCCGUUGUAGGCACUGCAUUAGAGAGAGGAAAUCCUGCCCAGACUUGGAGCAGUUCUGACAUGAAAAUGUAGACCUGUCUCCCCGGGCCCUCGUUUGCCCCUCUGUAAAAUGGGUCUCUGGCCAGCGCUGGCGUUCGUGAAGCAGCUGCCAGAGGGACUGGCCGUAGCGACGGCCUUAGGAAAUGGGGCGACCGUCAUAUGGCACCUGUUUGCUUCGCGUCACGAAAGGAUGCCCACGGGCCUGCUCGAGUGCAUCUAAAGAUACUGCGCAAUGACCUCGACCUCCAGGAGCUGGCGUCUAGAACAAUCUGAAAACCAGCCUGACCUAACUGCGGGAAACCUGCAUCAAUUCGAGAUUCCUGAUUAAAGGAAGCGUUGAUGGAGCUCCUGGUGUAUGGCUGCUCCCAGGUGGUGCUGAUGCUGCUAGUUCCAGACCACAAGGAGAACCACUCUUCUAAAGAGCGCCGUAUUCUAAAGCCGCAUUCUACGUGUGACUUCACUUCACUCAUAUGCGAAAGAUAAACACACCGAUACGGAGAACAGAUUGGUGGUUACCAGAGGGGAAGCGGGUGGGGGGAGGGCCAAGGGGUAAAUGGGUGCAGAUGUACGGUGACGGAUGGAAACUAGACUUCUGGUGGUGAACACGAAGCAGUCUAUACAGAAGUGGAAAUAGGAUGACGUACAACUGAAAUUUAUAUAAUGUUUUAAACCAAUGUGACCUCAAUAAAAAAAAAAAUUUAAAGCCACAUUCUAAACCCAGGAGCAUGUGCGUAUGCAUGCAUACAAAUACGCAAGUGACAUAUAAAACUAGUGCACACCAGUGCCCCUGCCGCUUCAACCUGGGGGUCACGUUAAAACACAGGUUCUGACUCUAGGUCCAGGGUGGAGCCUGAGACUCUGCAUUUCUAACUUUCCUCUUGGCAAUGGGAAUGCGGCUUGUCCCCGCCCACAGUGAGCAGCCAGAGGACAGAGGGAUGUCCACCAAAGUAACAGUUGUUGCCUCUCGGGAACGAAGCAGAAUGGGGGAGCUGUGGAAAGGAUUCCUUCAUUCUUAUCCUGUCACCCUUCACAUUAUUGGGGUUUUCUACAAGAGGAUUGUAUUACAUGGCAAUCUUCUUCUUCCAGAAUCACCUCCAAAGGCCACAAACAUGAAGAUAACCUAUUGCAAUCCAGGCACAUUGGAAGGAUCCAGAAUUAAGACAGAUAAAUGACAGUGUUCUCUUCUCUCCACUGGGGCAUCCAUUCAUUUCUUUUUUAAGUGCCACAAAAGAAUGCUUAUGUUCCUCCCCAUUAAAAAUACACCAAAAUGGGGGCCACUGCGUGGCCAAGUGGUUAAGUUCUUGCGCUCCACUUUGGUGGCCCAGGGUUUCACCGGUUUGGAUUCUGGCCGCGGACAUGGCACUGCUUGUUGGGCCAUGCUGAGGUGGCGUCCCACAUAGCAGAACUAGAAGGACCCACAACUAAAAUAUACAACUAUGUACUGAGGGGAUUUGGGGAGAAAAAGCAGAAAAAAAAGAAGAAGAAGAAGAUUGGCAACAGUUGUUAGCUCAGGUGCCAAUCUUUAAAAAAAAAAAAAAACAAAAUAGCAGCCGACCCCAUGACCUAGCAGUUAAGUUCAGCACACUUCACUUUGGAGGCCCAGGUUGGUUCCCAGGCCCAGACCCAUGC
ensembl:lncRNA